AGUGAACGCUGGCGGUAGGCCUAACACAUGCAAGUCGAACGGCAGCACAGUAAGAGCUUGCUCUUACGGGUGGCGAGUGGCGGACGGGUGAGGAAUACAUCGGAAUCUACUUUUUCGUGGGGGAUAACGUAGGGAAACCUACGCUAAUACCGCAUACGACCUACGGGUGAAAGCAGGGGAUCUUCGGACCUUGCGCGAUUGAAUGAGCCGAUGUCGGGUUAGCUAGUUGGCGGGGUAAAGGCCCACCAAGGCGACGAUCCGUAGCUGGUCUGAGAGGAUGGUCAGCCACACUGGAACUGAGACACGGUCCAGACUCCUACGGGAGGCAGCAGUGGGGAAUAUUGGACAAUGGGCGCAAGCCUGAUCCAGCCAUCCCGCGUGGGUGAAGAAGGCCUUCGGGUUGUAAAGCCCUUUUGUUGGGAAAGAAAAGCAGCAGGUUAAUACCCCGCUGUUCUGACGGUACCCAAAGAAUAAGCACCGGCUAACUUCGUG
rnacentral:rRNA from 1 species